rnacentral:tRNA from 2 species
GCCGGGGUGGCGGAGCGGUUCAACGCGUCCGAUUGAUGAUCGGAAUGACCCCACCAGGUCAUCUUGGGUUCGAAGCCCAACCCCGGCG